rnacentral:pre_miRNA from 1 species
CUUGUACUCCCUUCGUUCGAAAAUACUUGUCAUCAAAAUGGACAAAAAGGGAUGUAUCUAGAACUAAAAUACAUCUAGAUACAUCCCCUUUUAUUCAUUUUGAUGACAAGUAUUUCCGGACGGAGGGAGUAUCUU